GAAAUUGAUAAUGUGAAGAAUAACAAUACAGGAACAUAGAAUAACAAGAAAGAAAUUCUAGCAGCAAGUUAGGUUAUGAGAUAAAUUUUAUUUAUAUAGUUUGUUUAAAGAGUUUAGUUUGAAAAAAAGGGACACAGUAAAAAGACAAAACAUUUAGACCCUUUGAAAGAGAAAUGUUUGCAAUGGAUAUUAAUAAAUUCUAGCCAAUUUGUACGAUGUACAAUGCAGGCAAUAUUUCUGCCUCUUAAUGCACUAUUCGCGUAAAAGAAGAUGUGGGUAUUGUAUUUAUAGAACAGAUUUAUUAUUAGUUG